rnacentral:rRNA from 1 species
UACAUGGGGUGCAAACGUUGCUCGGAAUUAUUGGGCGUAAAGCGCGCGCAGGCGGUCCUUUAAGUCUGAUGUGAAAGCCCACGGCUCAACCGUGGAGGGUCAUUGGAAACUGGGGGACUUGAGUACAGAAGAGGAAAGCGGAAUUCCACGUGUAGCGGUGAAAUGCGUAGAGAUGUGGAGGAACACCAGUGGCGAAGGCGGCUUUCUGGUCUGUAACUGACGCUGAGGCGCGAAAGCGUGGGGAGCAAACAGG